UGGAAAGCAGAUUGCGUGUGGUCUUGGAGAUGGUUCUGUUUUGUUGUAUAACUCUUCACUCACCAGCAACCCAGCUGUCUAUACAGGUCACAGUAAGGCUGUGAACACUGUAUGCUGGAGUCACAGUAAACGUUGGUUUUUAAGUACCUCUGAGGACCCCACCCUUUGCAUUCGGACCGCGAAUGCUUCGGAACCUGUUCUGACCAUGAACCCCCAACACAACUGAAGUUCAUUCAAAUCAGUUUUCUUCAGUCACAUUCUGGCUCAGAGUCUCUCUCUGGUGUCUUCCCACCCAGCCUCCUAGACCUGUGCAUCUGUGUGUGUAUCUGGAGCCAAAUAUGACCCAAUGCAUCAGUGUUUGUGUCAUUUAUAUUAAAGAGAAAAUCCUGGGUCUGCAAUAAU